CAACUUCUGGAUUCUAGAUGUUGAGAGUUGAAAUUUGAGACUUGUACAAAUAACAAAAUGGCACCACAGACAGAACCCCAGCCUCUAGACACCAUUUUGCAACUCCUACUUGGACAGGCUUCAUAGGAACCACCCAGGUAUGGAGUCAUAACCAACUGACCUUUAAAUAGGUUAAAUGCUA